UUGGUUGAAGAAAAUUAGUCAAGAAGCAGUUAAAAGCUGCAGACCUAAAGAUCAAGGCAUUGAACGAAUUUUGUGAAAGCUUCCACAGGUAAGUAGCUUUCGGAUUUUUAUUGUAGUUUAUAUUAUCUAGAUUUUAUGUAAGUUAGACUGAUUCAUGAGAGUUUAUAUAAGUUAGAAUGAUCCAUAAGAAUAACUUUCACUGUGCAUGUUCUAGCAUAAUGUAUAUUAUACAUAAUGAAUUCAAAUAACAAUUAAUAUUCGAGCAAAAAAGUAAACAGUGACUAAUAAUAAUAGGAAAUCAAAGAUAUAGCAGAGGAAGAAGACAACUAGAAGGGGAUGAGAUAAUAGACCAUAGAAGGAAGAUGAGAGAAUAACAAACUAAGUUAAAGCUUCAACAUAAUUUCCUUGUUCUUUUACAACAUCUGAUUCUCUUUUAAUAAAUCAAUUGCUCUUUUUUUACCCCAGAUCCCACAUAAAGGUACCCAAUAACGCAAACACGUAAAUGUGGUUUGAAACAAAUAGCGGAAUAAGUUUGAUUAUUAAUAAUUUUAGUACUUCAAUAAUAGAACUAGUAACUACUAGUUAUCUACUAAUUAUCCAAGUAUAAGUUAUCCACGCAAGUUACCCGCACCAUCCGCACCCCCCUACAAUUGGUAUCAGAGCUAUGUUAUUUAAAAAAUGUACAAGUAGAUAUGUGUUAAUCAUGGUAAAUGUUAGAAAUGUUAAUUUAGUUAAUUUAAUUGUUGAUUAUGAGACUAUUAUUAAUUAAGUUAUCUUGUUAGCUAUGUUGUUAUUUAUUUGUUAAAUAUGAGAAGACCAUUUAAAAAUACAUAAGCUUUUAGAGAAAUUAAAAGAAUUUUAACCAGUUACUACCCAGAAUAUAAGAAACUAAAUAAAACAAAAGAAAACCCCCACAGAUUAGCUUACUUAAUUACCUUAAUAUAUAGCAAUGAAACAAAACUAAUAAUUCUUUUAAAAUCUAGAAGAAUGAGAUGCAUACCACCUAAUUAUGAUAAAAUCGAAUUUCGGUAUCCACCAAAAUAUUAUAAAUAUUGUACGGGUGAAUAACAUAACAAAAUCACAAAAAUAUAAAGAACUAAAAUAAAUAAUAUCUAAAAAACGAAAAGAAUUAAAAAUAAGAAAAGAAAGACUACAAUAUAACAUGAUUGUUGGAGUAUGCCAAAAAUCAAUAAAAGCACAAAAGGAAGAAAUAUCAUAUUUAGAAUCAUAAAUAGAUAAUCUAGAAUACAUAUAUCAACAUGAUCUAUACACUAUCAAGUAGAUAAAAUGAACAAAGAAGAAUUUAUAAUAGAUGAAAAAACAUAUGAAAACCAUGAAGGAUUAAAAAUAAGAAUAGUAUUUUCUAAUUUAGGAAGAAGAUAUAUCUAAAUAGGUGAACAUUUAUAUUUAAAUGUUAUAAAAAAAAGAAUUAAAAUUAGAAGAUAAAUUAACAGCUAUGGUAAGAAUAGCAAGAGAAAAUGAAGAAAUAGACAGGAAAAAGGAAAUAGAUAAAAUAAAAUAACAGACUACAGAAGAAAUACGAAAAAUAGAAGAAACUAAAAAUAAUAGGAUUGCUAAAUUAGAAAAAGAA
rnacentral:lncRNA from 1 species